ensembl:lncRNA
CCUUGAAGAUCCUGCACCUGGUCACAGCGUGGCUCCCCCUGCUGGAGAAGGUCUGAACUCUGUCUGUCUGUCUCUCCACCAGUUGUCUGUCUUCACUUCUUAUCUGUGCUGUGUAAUUAAUUAUAGCUGAAAUGACUCUUGUUGUAAAGUGAGAGUGAAUCUCUAUGAGGAUGAUUACUUGCAGAUACUUUAAUUGCUUUUUGUUUUCAUUUCUGUUCACGAAACCGUGUGUAUUGUGUAGCGCUGCAGAUCUGUAAUGGGUUUGGAGACACACACAGGAGGGAUUGUUAUUGGUUUGAUGCUUUGCAUUUAUUGAUUUAAUACGUUGUAGCGAGACAUCUAAUCUGUGUGUGUGCGCGCAGGAGCUCAACAGUAUGAAACCCAAAGCCGGCUUCAGAUUCUGGUUGACUGCUGAGGUUCAUGUGAAGUUCACUCCUGUACUGCUCCAGUCCAGCCUGAAGGUCACCUAUGAGGUGAUCUCUCAGUUGAGGAUUCUGAGCAGGUCUGUAGCAGCCAGCUUC